rnacentral:rRNA from 1 species
GAUGAACGCUGGCGGCGUGCCUAAUACAUGCAAGUCGAGCGAACAGACGAGAAGCUUGCUCCUCUGACGUUAGCGGCGGACGGGUGAGUAACACGUGGAUAACCUGCCUAUAAGACUGGGAUAACUUCGGGAAACCGGAGCUAAUACCGGAUAAUAUAUUGAACCGCAUGGUUCAAUAGUGAAAGACGGUUUUGCUGUCACUUAUAGAUGGAUCCGCGCCGCAUUAGCUAGUUGGUAAGGUAACGGCUUACCAAGGCGACGAUGCGUAGCCGACCUGAGAGGGUGAUCGGCCACACUGGAACUGAGACACGGUCCAGACUCCUACGGGAGGCAGCAGUAGGGAAUCUUCCGCAAUGGGCGAAAGCCUGACGGAGCAACGCCGCGUGAGUGAUGAAGGUCUUCGGAUCGUAAAACUCUGUUAUUAGGGAAGAACAAAUGUGUAAGUAACUAUGCACGUCUUGACGGUACCUAAUCAGAAAGCCACGGCUAACUACGUG